UACGUAGGGUGCGAGCGUUAAUCGGAAUUACUGGGCGUAAAGCGUGCGCAGGCGGUUUUGUAAGUCCGGUGUGAAAGCCCCGGGCUUAACCUGGGAAUGGCAUUUGGGACUGCAAGGCUGGAGUGUGGCAGAGGAGACUGGAAUUCCUGGUGUAGCAGUGAAAUGCGUAGAUAUCAGGAGGAAUACCGAUGGCGAAGGCAGGUCUCUGGGCUGACACUGACGCUCAUGCACGAAAGCGUGGGGAGCAAACAGG
rnacentral:rRNA from 1 species